GAUGAAGAACGCAGCGAAAUGAGAUAAGUAAUGCGAAUUGCAGAAUUUCCGUGAGUCAUCGAAUCUUUGAACGCACAUUGCGCCCGCUAGUAUUCUGGCGGGCAUGCCUGUCCGAGCGUCAUUUCAACCCUCAAGCCCCCGGGCUUGGUGUUGGGGAUCGGCGAGCCUCCGCGCCCGCCGUCCCCUAAAUCUAGUGGCGGUCUCGCUGUAGCUUCCUCUGCGUAGUAGCACACCUCGCACUGGGAAACAGCGCGGCCACGCCGUUAAACCCCCAACUUCUGAACGUUUGACCUCGGAUCAGGUAGGAAUACCCGCUGAACUUAAGCAUAUCAAUAAGCGGAGGA
rnacentral:misc_RNA from 1 species